AUAGUAGUGGUGGAGAGUUGAAAUUAAGGUAGAACUCUUAAUGCAAAAUCAAGAAGAUGACGCAAAAAUUUUUGGAAGAAAAAAGCAAGUUACACCCAAGAUGAAUAUUAGAGAGAUCGAUGAUUUGAAGGGUUCAAGCUUAAGUACGAAAAUGUGAUGAUUGAAGGCACUCAAGAAUUUGAGGUAUGCAAUGAUUUAGAGUUAAGGUGGAGAUUGUUAGAAUUAUG
rnacentral:misc_RNA from 1 species